rnacentral:rRNA from 1 species
UACGGGGGGGAGCAAGCGUUGUUCGGAUUUACUGGGCGUAAAGGGCGCGUAGGCGGCCACCGCAAGUCAGUUGUGAAAUCUCUGGGCUUAACCCAGAACGGUCAGCUGAUACUGCGGGGCUAGAGUGCAGAAGGGGCAACUGGAAUUCUCGGUGUAGCGGUGAAAUGCGUAGAUAUCACUUGGAACGCCAAUGGUGAAAACAGGUAGCUGGGGCUGUGCCGACGCUGAGACACGAAAGCCAGGGGAGCGAACGGG